rnacentral:antisense_RNA from 1 species
CUUGAUCGAACCCAGCCACAACGGCCGCCCCGCCGGCCGGCCCUGCCCGUACGUCGACAGCAGCGCCCGCGCCUC